rnacentral:rRNA from 1 species
AGAGUUUGAUCAUGGCUCAGAACGAACGCUGGCGGCAGGCCUAACACAUGCAAGUCGAACGAUAAGCCACCUUCGGUUGGACGGUUAGUGGCGCACGGGUGCGUAACACGUGGGAAUCUGCCCUUUGCUUCGGAAUAACAGUUAGAAAUGACUGCUAAUACCGGAUAAUGUCUUCGGACCAAAGAUUUAUCGGCAAAGGAUGAGCCCGCGUAGGAUUAGCUUGUUGGUGAGGUAAAGGCUCACCAAGGCGACGAUCCUUAGCUGGUCUGAGAGGAUGAUCAGCCACACUGGGACUGAGACACGGCCCAGACUCCUACGGGAGGCAGCAGUGGGGAAUAUUGGACAAUGGGCGAAAGCCUGAUCCAGCAAUGCCGCGUGAGUGAUGAAGGCCUUAGGGUUGUAAAGCUCUUUUACCAGGGAUGAUAAUGACAGUAC